ACGGGAGGCAGCAGUGGGGAAUAUUGCACAAUGGGGGAAACCCUGAUGCAGCGGCGCCGCGUGAGUGAAGAAGUAUUUCGGUAUGUAAAGCUCUUUAAGCAGGGAAGACAAUGACGGUACCUGCAGAAUAAGCCCCGGCUAACUACGUGCCAGCAGCCGCGGUAAUACGUAGGGGCAAGCGUUAUCCGGAUUUACUGGGUGUAAAGGGAGCGUAGACGGCAAUACAAGUCUGAAGUGAAAGCCCGCGGCUCAACUGCGGAACUGCUUUGGAAACUGUAUAGCUAGAGUGUCGGAGAGGUGAGUGGAAUUCCCAGUGUAGCGGUGAAAUGCGUAGAUAUUGGGAAGAACACCAGAGGCGAAGGCGGCUCACUGGACGAUAACUGACGUUGAGGCUCGAAAGCGUGGGGAGCAAACAGGAUUAGAUACCCUGGUA
rnacentral:rRNA from 1 species